GAAAAGAGAACCCUUCUACACUGUUGGUGGGAAUGUAAGUUGAUACAGCCAAUACAGAAAGCAUCAUGGAGAUUGCUCAAAACAUUAAAAAUAGAACUACCAUAUGAUCCAGCAAUCCUACCUCUGGGGAUUUAUCCAAAAGACCUGAAAUCAGGAGCUCAAAGAGGAAUCUGCAACCCCGUGUUCACUGCGGCCUCGUUCACAACAGCCAAGACACAGAAAUAACCUAAUGCCGUUCACCAACAAACGGAUAAAGAAAACGUGCCUCCGAAAUGAGAGGGCACUGUCUCCCCGUUCUGAGCUUCCUCUCCCAGGUCUUGAGUUCCAGUCCUUCCUUUGUUCCGGACGCGAGGCCACAGAGAAGAGUGCUCAGGUCUCACAGCCAGCAGCUGUGGAAGUCACCAUUCUCUGCCACUUAAUAGCCUCAGGCACUUGAGAAACAUCAUUUAACUUCAUGCAACCACUUCACAGAGGAGAAGACUAUCGCCCAGAGAAGCUCAGUGACUGUCAAGGUCCUGGGGCAGAACCAGGUGAAAGCCAUGUCACAGAGUUCAAGCCUUCUGCUCUGCGCCUCCCUGCUGGGGGAGCUGGCCAGGGGGCCAGCCAGGUGGGCAGGGCCAGGUGAAAUGGGCCAGGUGGGUAGGUCAAGUGAGCAAGGCUAGUUGGGCAGGCCGGGUGGGCCCUGCCAGGUGAGCAGGGCCAGGUGGGCUAGGCCAAGUGGGCAAGGCCAGGUGAGCAGGGCCAGGUGGGUGGGCCAGGUGGGUAGGGCAAGUGGGCAAGGCUAGGUGGGAA
rnacentral:lncRNA from 1 species